UGUGAACUCGAAGAGUAGGGCGGGACACGUGGUAUCCUGUCUGAAUAUGGGGGGACCAUCCUCCAAGGCUAAAUACUCCUGACUGACCGAUAGUGAACCAGUACCGUGAGGGAAAGGCGAAAAGAACCCCGGCGAGGGGAGUGAAAAAGAACCUGAAACCGUGUACGUACAAGCAGUGGGAGCACCUUAGGGUGUGACUGCGUACCUUUUGUAUAAUGGGUCAGCGACUUAUAUUCUGUAGCAAGGUUAACCGUAUAGGGGAGCCGCAGGGAAACCGAGUCUUAACUGGGCGUUAAGUUGCAGGGUAUAGACCCGAAACCCGGUGAUCUAGCCAUGGGCAGGUUGAAGGUUGGGUAACACUAACUGGAGGACCGAACCGACUAAUGUUGAAAAAUUAGCGGAUGACUUGUGGCUGGGGGUGAAAGGCCAAUCAAACCGGGAGAUAGCUGGUUCUCCCCGAAAGCUAUUUAGGUAGCGCCUCGUGAAUUCAUCUUCGGGGGUAGAGCACUGUUUCGGCUAGGGGGUCAUCCCGACUUACCAACCCGAUGCAAACUACGAAUACCGAAGAAUGUUAUCACGGGAGACACACGGCGGGUGCUAACGUCCGUCGUGAAGAGGGAAACAACCCAGACCGCCAGCUAAGGUCCCAAAGUCAUGGUUAAGUGGGAAACGAUGUGGGAAGGCACAGACAGCCAGGAUGUUGGCUUAGAAGCAGCCAUCAUUUAAAGAAAGCGUAAUAGCUCACUGGUCGAGUCGGCCUGCGCGGAAGAUGUAACGGGGCUAAACCAUGCACCGAAGCUGCGGCAGCGACACUAUGUGUUGUUGGGUAGGGGAGCGUUCUGUAAGCCUGCGAAGGUG
rnacentral:rRNA from 1 species